AAAUCACAAUUCCAAGGUAUCUUAUUGCGAAACCGAAAUAGUAUAAAGUACUAUAACAUCAGUAAAAAUCAAGAAUAGCUGAAUGGGUGUGUCAUUCACGCAUCCUUUUUUACUUUUCUAACACCCUAAUUAAUUUCUGUCCGUUGAUUUUCUUCAAUUCAUCCGAUUCGACAGUUAAAAAUUAAAAAGGUGUGAGAGAAGUAAAUAAGGUACCCUAACUGAAAAGCAUUACAUCACAAACCAUCAAUAAAACAGGUAUGGUAUGCUCAUCAGACAAUGGAACGAGCUCAUGUAGAGAUACCCUGACAUGAACAGGCUAGGUGUAUAAAUUUACGUUGUUACUACUCUCGCCAGAAAUUGGGAAUUCGGCCAGGAUUCUUCAACUCCUCGAUGUGCCAUCGUCCUUGCUCCAUUUUCCGAUCCAAGGAUUCUUCAACUCUUCGCCGUGCCGCCGUCGUUGCUCUGAUGUCUGAUCCAAGGAAAUAUUCCGACUCUUUGAACUGAGAUGAAUCAAAUGGUGGUAGCCUCGAGGAACGAUUCCUUGCAUGCCUUUGUCCUCUCGCCGGAUCCUGGGAUUUCUCGCCGAAAAACACAAACUUCUCGGUUUUGAAUCAGCUUCAUUUCUAAACCAAUCACGACAUAAAUACAUAAAAUUGAUCUACUCAACGCGAGGAAUCCAAUGGUAGUAGUCACACGAGACUUGCCUUCGUUGGAAACAGCGAGAAACUCGCCGAGAAAGUUCCUCCGUGUCGGAGCUCCUUGAAUUGACAUCUCAGGUUGAAUUUUCAGGCAAUGGAAGUUGGGAACAAACUCAUGGGGAAGAAGAGAUUACAACGGUUAUAGUUGGGUGGCUUGGUUCGUCGGAGAACGGCGACGAAGCGUUCGUGUGGUCUAAAAGAAGAGGAAAGGGGAGAGAGAAUGACGAGGGAGAAAAAAUGUGUUGACUCCGGAAGAGAGGAGGAAGAGGAAAAAGAGGGUCGAGAAAGAGAGAGUUGAUGGGUCUCAGUGGACCCAAAACUAAACGGGACCUCUCUCUUUCUUUUUGUUUGUUUUUUUUUUUAAUAAACGAUAUUGUUCCAUUAAGAGGAGGAAGUAGAGUUUAAUCUCAUAAUAGUAAUAAUGUGGUUCAAAUUUACUUUUGAUGAGAAUUGAAUAUAAGAGAUCUCACUUACAAGUGAAGAGAAAUAUCAUUAGACCGUAAUAUUAAAUGACUAAAUAGGAAUAAAAAUUUAAAAUAAAGGAAAUAUCUAGAAGAUACUACAUUAUGAGAAUGCUCUUGAACUUUAAAGAUCCAAAUCUUCUUUUGAAUUCUAAAUUUUAUUUUCGCUUCUGCCCACACGUUUGUAUCGUGGAGUGCUAUGAUGAUAUUGCUAAGAGAAUAGAUCAUUGGUGUCACAACCUCAAAGGUCAAUCAAAGUCAACAUUUUCCCUUUCAGAAGUAUUUUGAACAUUUCACUCAUUUGGGGAUUAAAAUAGAGUAAGUUUUGGGACGUUUAGUAACAAUUAUUAUGUAUAAUCACCAAAUUGCAUCUCAAACUUCACAAUACUGACUAGAAUUUCAUUUUGGGCAAAGAAUCAAAAGUGCUACAAAUUCAGAAAACAAUCAUUUAUUUUUUAGUUUUUUUGUUGUUUUGGAAAAUUAUUAUAAGAACCCUUAUUUUAACAUUUUUUCUUCAUUCACCCCUAAAAAAUGUCCAUGUAUUUUAAUUUGAAAUUUAGCGCUCAAUUGUUAAUGAACGCUAGAAUAAUAAACAUAAGUAUUGCGAGGAAUAACUUUUUCAAUUAAUUGACUGGAAAAUUGGACAGCAAUAACGGAAACCAGCGAUAAUUGAGGAAUGGUCUAAAUCAAACAAAAAGUAUAAAUAUGGGGUGAACUAUAAGCAAAAUGUUUAUGUGUAAUUAUUUAGGGCAAAGAAAAUAGAAAAUAAUGAAGGUGGAAUUAAACGAUAACUACCCCUGCAUACUUUCAAGCUUUUGACAACCUGUGAAGUAAAUAGAAAAAUAAAGGUAUUUGUGCAGAACAAAACGUGCUAACGAGAGAGAAAGAUGAAAUUAAGACUCUAAUAGAAGAGAGUCCAAACUUAAUUUA
rnacentral:lncRNA from 1 species